GAUGAACGCUGGCGGCGUGCCUAAUACAUGCAAGUCGAGCGAACGGACGAGAAGCUUGCUCCUCUGAUGUUAGCGGCGGACGGGUGAGUAACACGUGGAUAACCUACCUAUAAGACUGGGAUAACUUCGGGAAACCGGAGCUAAUACCGGAUAAUAUUUUGAACCGCAUGGUUCAAAAGUGAAAGACGGUCUUGCUGUCACUUAUAGAUGGAUCCGCGCUGCAUUAGCUAGUUGGUAAGGUAACCGCUUACCAAGGCAACGAUGCAUAGCCGACCUGAGAGGGUGAUCGGCCACACUGGAACUGAGACACGGUCCAGACUCCUACGGGAGGCAGCAGUAGGGAAUCUUCCGCAAAGGGCGAAAGCCUGACGGAGCAACGCCGCGUGAGUGAUGAAGGUCUUCGGAUCGUAAAACUCUGUUAUUAGGGAAGAACAUAUGUGUAAGUAACUGUGCACAUCUUGACGGUACCUAAUCAGAAAGCCACGGCUAACUACGUG
rnacentral:rRNA from 1 species